rnacentral:rRNA from 1 species
GACGUAGGGCGCGAGCGUUGUCCGGAUUUAUUGGGCGUAAAGAGCUCGUAGGCGGUCUGUCGCGUCUGCUGUGAAAACUCGGGGCUUAACCCCGGGCCUGCAGUGGGUACGGGCAGACUAGAGUGCGGUAGGGGAGACUGGAAUUCCUGGUGUAGCGGUGAAAUGCGCAGAUAUCAGGAGGAACACCGGUGGCGAAGGCGGGUCUCUGGGCCGUAACUGACGCUGAGGAGCGAAAGCAUGGGUAGCGAACAGG